UGGCCCACUUUUCUUCCCUUAACCUCUGAAGCUAAAAGUAACCUGGACAUUUGCCAGGUGCUGACUCAAAACUGGGUUAUUUUUAGCUUUGGGUGCCUUGAAACCUAGUUAGGGAAAAAACGACCUCAAGGAACGGAAGAUUCGGAGUUUCGCUUGGCAGAUGCGCUGCGUGCAUUUUGAAUGUCAGAUGGCGGACCAGGUACUGGGGGUCAUAGCCAUGAAGGUGACAGGCGAUGUUCAUCAGUGCCCCAAUCUGUUACACUAGUCUAUGACAAGGUGACAAAGAAGAUGGAUUCUAAAACAGCAUGUAAAUCUGUGGUGGGACACUAGUCCUGGGAUGAUAGGAACAAACGUCUACUCACCCCAGAUAUGGAACUAAUAAUGAACCUAGUAAGGACAGACGACCAACGCCGACUUUGGUGAACCAAUAAACCUGACACAACUUGUCACCUUUAGCCUAAUUAAAGCAUCCCCCUGUGCGAUUGCUGUAAUACUUACAUCAGCUCUAAAACUCCAAGCAUGCUUCAGCUGCUGACCACAGGAAGGCUAACAGUGCUCUGGUCUCUAAGGAGUUGACCCCUCUGAGAACAUGUCUUUAAAUCAGCCAAUCACAACAUUUCAGAGUCUCUCACUGGCCUGGAACAUGCAGCAUAGGCUAAGCUCCCUGACCAGCCAGCCCCAGGGAUCUGCCUGUCUCCACUUCUCCAGCUCUGGGGUUACCAACAUGUCCAGCAUUUUUAAACCGUGUUCUGAGGGUUGAACUCAGGCUCUGGUGCUUGCAAGAUUCUCAGUGAAACUGGCUGGAGAUCUAUUCUUUCAAUGACAGUACAUCAAGCUCUGGAAGCAUGUUUCGUUUUGAGUCGCCAGCGUGCAAGACGACAACUUCCGUGGCCUGGUUCCUGCCCCUUUGGACUUGUUGAUGAGCUGUGCGUGACGCCUGGCAGUGGCACUGUUACGACAGAGGGUGUUUAGGGAGAUGGCAGCGCCAUUGCCCUUGGUACUCCAACUUAAAGCGCUGGAAAUAUAAAUAAAAGAUUGUCAUGGUUUUCUUGGUUUGGGAAGAAAAAAGCUUUUCAACAGCCGUGUUAUUCCACUCAGCCCCAGCUUUCUUUGCCAACAGCUCAUUGAGGAGGAUGGGGCUUGGAAGGGGGAAGCAGGGAAGUGGAUCAUUAUUCAACAACUGGAAUCACCUGGGGUCAAUAACGUAGCGUCCACCCUGUCGUGUCCCCAUUGCCACAGGAAUCAUCGAGGCUUGCUCUGAAUACAUACAGACUCACAUGUAGCUCGAGGAAUGACAUGAAGAUCCAAUUCUCGGUUUGUAUUUCUUUGACUCAGAGGAUGCACCGUAAAAGCUCCCCGCUCAGAAGUGAAACAGUUGGCACCACUGAGCCAGAAUCUUGAUAUCCUGAAAUCCCAAAUCUGUUUCUUUAGGUAGAGGCUAGGCAAGCCUGCAUUUUUAGCCAUCUUCACUCAGCCACUUGGCUCUCAGCUCUUCUGAAAUGUCCUGGGUAGCCUGGUGGAAGCUGGGCUGAGGCAGCGUUUUUAGCAUCAGAUUGGAUGCUGCUGAGGAGUUGACAGUUCCUAGUGGCCUGAGCCAGCCUCUGCUGGCAGGGUCCAGGACUCCUCAUCCAUGCUGCUGGCAGAGCUGUGCCCACUAGUAAAUCCUGGUGUCUGAAACCUAGAAAGGGCGUCUGAGAUUAGUGAGUAGUCUUUAUCAUUUUCCCGUAGAGGAAGAGCUCCUAGGAAAGAUGAGUGACUGGUAUAAGACCACAGGUCUCUUGGUCUUGGUUUAGCUCUCUGGUUCCCCUGGGCUCAGUUUCUUGGUAAUGUACACCAGACUGCCACAAAUUCUGGGUCUCCCAUGAGGCUUCUCCUGGGACACUUACUGAGGUGGGUCUGAAGAGUUUGAUGAAUCUUGGCUGUGUUACACAGGCGCUUGGUGGAAUGAAUGGCCUUAGAAGGUCCCCAGGAAGCAGCUGCAUCCGAAGGUCCCCUGUUUGAGCAGUGGACAAGCUUGUUUAGCACCUUCCAGGAGGUAAAAGCAAAUGGAGCCAAUUACAUGUCCAGAAUGCAGGAGCCUUCUUUUCCUCCCUUGAUUCUCUGGUCUCCCAUGGUGUAUGAGUUCCUUGUUAAAUUAAUGUUUGCCUGUCUGGAGCGCCAGAGGGAUAGACAUUAUAGGCCAAUUAGAGAUAAAAAUCAAACCAACCAGAGCUGUCCUUUUAAAAAUUAAAAGUGCUUUUUAUGUGCUGUGGAGGUGUCGGCAUUAACAUAAAGACUAAUUAGGACAUUUUACAACAUCCUGGUAACGGGCGAAACAAUAUUGUUGGUAACUUUAAAGAUUAUUAAGCAUCUUUGGCACUUCAGGUCAGAUAUUUAAGACGUGUUCUGCUCUCACCUGCUGCUGCGGCACCAAGUAUUUUAUUGUCUCAUAAGAAGAAAUGAGCGUUUUGAAGGCCUAAGUGCCCUGCUGUAAUGGACAGUCCCUCACUUUGCAAAGCCCUAAAGCACGGUCUCUGGGAAGACCUGACUGUGACUCCACAUGGCAUUUGUAGCAAUGUUCAUCAGUCUGCAUGCAAGGCCAUUUCAAUCGGGGCUACCCGGAGAAACGCAUCCCCCUCCAGGAAGCUGAGAGGGUUUGUGUGGCCUCAAUAAAAGAAGCCAGAAGCUAGAUAGUGCAGAAUCCUAUCAUAAUACUGUCUUUAGGGACAGGGGAGAUGGUGUAAGGACCUGAGUUUAGUUCCCUGACAACCAUGUAUAAAGCCAGAUUACACAUCUGUAAUCCCAGCACUAGGGAGGAAGAGAGG